GUGCCAGCCGCCGCGGUAAGACAGAGGGGGCAAGCGUUGCUCGGAAUCACUGGGCGUAAAGGGCGCGUAGGCGGGAUGGCAAGUCGGUCGUGAAAUCCUUCGGCUCAACCGAAGAACGUCGGCCGAUACUGCCGUUCUUGAGGGAUGCAGAGGCGAGUGGAAUUCCCGGUGUAGCGGUGAAAUGCGCAGAUAUUCGGAGGAACACCAGUAGCGAAGGCGGCUCGCUGGGCCACACCUGACGCUGAGA
rnacentral:rRNA from 1 species